CAGGUUGAAGCGAGGGUAAAACCUCGUGGAGGACCGAACCACGUUGCUGUUGAAAAAGCAUGGGAUGAGCUGUGGAUAGCGGAGAAAUUCCAAUCGAACUCGGAUAUAGCUGGUUCUCCUCGAAAUAGCUUUAGGGCUAGCGUCGUGAAAUGUGAGUACUGGAGGUAGAGCACUGAAUAGGCUAGGGGGCAUAGCGCUUACCGAACCUUAUCAAACUCCGAAUGCCAGAUACUAUCAGCACGGCAGUCAGACUAUGAAAGAUAAGUUCCAUGGUCAAAAGGGAAACAGCCCAGAUCGUCAGCUAAGGUCCCAAAGUGUAAGUUAAGUGGAAAAGGAUGUGGGAUUUCUAAGACAACUAGGAUGUUGGCUUAGAAGCAGCCACUCAUUAAAAGAGUGCGUAAUAGCUCACUAGUCAAGAGAUCCUGCGCCGAAAAUGUCCGGGGCUCAAACUUACCACCGAAGCUACGGGUUCAUACUUUGUAUGAGCGGUAGAGGAGCGUCGUAAUCGGGCUGAAGUCGUACCGUAAGGAGCGGUGGACUGAUUACGAGUGAGAAUGUUGGCAUUAGUAGCGAGAUGUAGGUGAGAAUCCUACAGGCCGAAUAUCUAAGGUUUCCUGAGUAAAGUUUGUCUUCUCAGGGUUAGUCGGGACCUAAGGCGAGGCCGAGAGGCGUAGUCGAUGGACAAUUGGUUGAUAUUCCAAUACCACUAUAAUCGUUAUUAUCGAUGGUGUGACGGAGAAGGAUAGGAUGUGCCAGCUAUUGGAUGCUGGUCUAAGCGUUGAGGGAGUUAGAACAGGCAAAUCCGUUCUAACAAUCCUAGGGCGUGAUGGGGAAGGUUCCACGGAACCGAAGUAUCUGAUUUCAUGCUUCCAAGAAAAGCAUCUAGAAAGAGAAGUAGUGCCCGUACCGCAAACCGACACAGGUAGAUGAGGAGAGAAUCCUAAGGCCGACGGAAGAAUCACAGUUAAGGAACUAGGCAAAUUGACCCCGUAACUUCGGGAGAAGGGGUGCCUACCAUUUGGUAGGCCGCAGAGAAUAGGCACAAGCAACUGUUUAACAAAAACACAGGUCUCUGCUAAAGCGUAAGCUGAUGUAUAGGGGCUGACGCCUGCCCGGUGCUGGAAGGUUAAGGGGAACACUUAGCGCAAGCGAAGGU
rnacentral:rRNA from 1 species